UACGUAGGGUGCAAGCGUUGUCCGGAAUUAUUGGGCGUAAAGAGCUCGUAGGCGGUCUGUCGCGUCUGCUGUGAAAAUCCAGGGCUCAACCCUGGACCUGCAGUGGGUACGGGCAGACUAGAGUGCGGUAGGGGAGAUCGGAAUUCCUGGUGUAGCGGUGAAAUGCGCAGAUAUCAGGAGGAAUACCGGUGGCGAAGGCGGGUCUCUGGGCAACAACUGACGCUGAGGAGCGAAAGCGUGGGGAGCGAACAGG
rnacentral:rRNA from 1 species